UACGUAGGGUGCGAGCGUUGUCCGGAUUUAUUGGGCGUAAAGAGCUCGUAGGCGGUUUGUCGCGUCGGCCGUGAAAUCUCCACGCUUAACGUGGAGCGUGCGGUCGAUACGGGCAGACUUGAGUUCGGUAGGGGAGACUGGAAUUCCUGGUGUAGCGGUGAAAUGCGUAGAUAUCGGGAGGAACAUCAGUGGCGAAGGCGGCUGCCUGGCCCAAUACUGACACUCAGGUGCGACAGCGUGGGGAGCAAACAGG
rnacentral:rRNA from 1 species